rnacentral:rRNA from 1 species
CCUACGGGAGGCAGCAGUGGGGAAUAUUGGGCAAUGGGCGCAAGCCUGACCCAGCAACGCCGCGUGAAGGAAGAAGGCUUUCGGGUUGUAAACUUCUUUUCUCCGGGACGCAGCACGUCACGGUACCUGCGGACUAAGCCACGGCUAACUACGUGCCUGCAGCCGCGGGAAUACGUCGGGGGCAAGCGUUAUCCGGAUUUACUGGGUGUAAUGGGCGUGUAGGCGGGACUGCAAGUCAGCUGUGAAAACCACGGGCGCAACCUGUGGCCUGCAUUUGAAACUGAAGUUCUUGAGUACUGGAGAGGCAGACGGAAUUCGUAGUGUAGCGGUGAAAUGCGUAGAUAUUAGGAGGAACACCAGUGGCGAAGGCGGGAUGCUGGACAGCAACUGACGCUGAGGCGCGAAAGCGUGGGGAGCAAACAGGAUUAGAUACCCGUGUAGUC